GAUGAACGCUAGCUACAGGCUUAACACAUGCAAGUCGAGGGGAAACGACAUCGAAAGCUUGCUUUUGAUGGGCGUCGACCGGCGCACGGGUGAGUAACGCGUAUCCAACCUGCCCACCACUUGGGGAUAACCUUGCGAAAGUAAGACUAAUACCCAAUGACGUCUCUAGAAGACAUCUGAAAGAGAUUAAAGAUUUAUCGGUGAUGGAUGGGGAUGCGUCUGAUUAGCUUGUUGGCGGGGUAACGGCCCACCAAGGCGACGAUCAGUAGGGGUUCUGAGAGGAAGGUCCCCCACAUUGGAACUGAGACACGGUCCAAACUCCUACGGGAGGAAGCAGUGAGGAAUAUUGGUCAAUGGACGAGAGUCUGAACCAGCCAAGUAGCGUGCAGGAUGACGGCCCUAUGGGUUGUAAACUGCUUUUAUAAGGGAAUAAAGUGAGUCUCGUGAGACUUUUUGCAUGUACCUUAUGAAUAAGAACCGGCUAAUUCCGUG
rnacentral:rRNA from 1 species